AACGCUGGCGGCGUGCCUAACACAUGCAAGUCGAACGAGAAAGUGGAGCAAUCCAUGAGUAAAGUGGCGCACGGGUGAGUAACACGUGACUAACCUACCCUUGAGUGGGGAAUAACUUCGGGAAACCGAGGCUAAUACCGCAUAACACCUACGGGUCAAAGGAGCAAUUCGCUUAAGGAGGGGGUCGCGGCAGAUUAGUUAGUANNCGGGGUUAUGGCCCACCAAGACGGUGAUCUGUAUCCGGCCUGAGAGGGCGCACGGACACACUGGAACUGAAACACGGUCCAGACUCCUACGGGAGGCAGCAGUGGGGAAUUUUGCGCAAUGGGGGAAACCCUGACGCAGCAANGCCGCGUGGAGGAUGAAGUCCCUUGGGACGUAAACUCCUUUCGAUCGGGAGGNNUUAUCACGGAAAAAUNAGGAGGGAANNNNCCCNAAAGAAG
rnacentral:rRNA from 1 species